CGCGGCGGCGAUAGCACUUUGAAUGCACCAGUUCCGAUGGAUCACUGAAGUUAAGCAACUUUGGGCUUGGUUGGUUUGCAGAUAGCUGACCAUCUGGGCAAUCGCGUACUGACUUUU
rnacentral:rRNA from 1 species